CAGGGGGUGCAAGCGUUGUUCGGAAUUACUGGGCGUAAAGCGCGGGCAGGUGGCCCGCUAAGUCUGCGGUGAAAUCCCGGAGCUCAACUCCGGAUAUGCCGCGGAUACUGGCGGGCUAGAGACCAGUAGAGGCGAGUGGAAUUCCAGGUGUAGCGGUGGAAUGCGUAGAUAUCUGGAAGAACACCGGUGGCGAAGGCGGCUCGCUGGGCUGGUUCUGACACUCAUCCGCGAAAGCGUGGGGAGCAAACAGGAUUAGAUACCCUGGUAGUCCACGCCGUAAACGAUGGGCACUAGAUGCCGGGUCUAUAGACGGAUUCGGUGUCGCAGCUAACGCAUUAAGUGCCCCGCCUGGGGAGUACGGCCGCAAGGCUG
rnacentral:rRNA from 1 species